CCUACGGGUGGCUGCAGUAGGGAAUCUUGCACAAUGGGCGAAAGCCUGAUGGAGCAACGCCGCGUGGGUGAAGAAGGUCUUCGGAUCGUAAAACACUGUUGUUAGAGAAGAAAGUGCGUGAGAGUAACUGUUCACGUUUCGACGGUAUCUAACCAGAAAGCCACGGCUAACUACGUGCCAGCAGCCGCGGUAAUACGUAGGGGGCAAGCGUUAUCCGGAUUUAUUGGGCGUAAAGGGAACGCAGGCGGUCUUUUAAGUCUGAUGUGAAAGCCUUCGGCUUAACCGGGGUAGUGCAUUGGAAACUGGGAGACUUGAGUGCAGUAGAGGAGAGUGGAACUCCAGGUGUAGCGGUGAAAUGCGUAGAGAUGUGGAAGAACACCGGUGGCGAAGGCGGCUCUCUGGACUGUGACUGACGCUGAGGUUCGAAAGCGUGGGUAGCAAACAGGAUUAGAUACCCUUGUAGUC
rnacentral:rRNA from 1 species